rnacentral:lncRNA from 1 species
CAUUGAAGGAAGAAAAAAGAAAUGCUGUUUUCUGUUUCCUUUUCCUAGGUGCCUUUAUUGCUGGACAUUGUGAGUUUCCACCAACAAGCGCCUGGGUCAGGCUGCAGGUGGAGAGAGAGAGCUGCCUGCUCCAGUUCUGGAGCUCCCGCUUUAAGAACAUCCUGAACUGAAGAAAAAUAAGGUGUUUUCUGAGGACAAGUAAGAAUCAAGGAUGUUUACCGUUGGGGGAAUCUAGCAGUGAUGCUGUUUUCUGCAUUCAGCACAGUAUUGUCCUGAUACCUGAGGCACUUGGGCUUCAUCAGCAACAAACUCAAACCCACAAAUCAUAAAGUUAGAGGACAAUGUCAAAGCAAGCCAAAGUCUUGCCAAAGAGCUCAAGAAAUGCCAAUACUACAGUCUGAGAGUUACUUGCUAUAACAUGGAGCCACCAUUGCUACAAUAUGCCAAGGUAUGUCCAACCCUAGAGCCAUACUGAAAUGCCUUUAUAUGUAUUUCAGUUCUUAUCACACUAACUUCUGAUCUAAUGGCUUACUGCAGAAGAAAAUUAAAUUAAAAUAAAUAAUAAAAUAAUACAAACUCUGCUGCCA